CACGGAGUUAGCCGGUGCUUAUUCCUCUGGUACCGUCAGUCUCUUAUGAAUAAGAGGUUUUCUUCCCAGAGAAAAGAAGUUUACAAUCCAUAGGACCUUCUACCUUCACGCGGGAUGGCUGGAUCAGCUUUUCAGCCAUUGUCCAAUAUUCCCUACUGCUGCCUCCCGUAGGAGUCGGGCCCGUGUCUCAGUGCCCGUGUGGCUGGUCGCGCUCUCACGCCAGCUACUGAUCGUUGGCUUGGUAGGCCGUUACCCUACCAACUACCUAAUCAGACGCACACUCAUCUCUCGACCCCCGGAGGUUUAAUUAUAAAGAGAUGCCUCUUCAUUAAUGUUAUGGGGUAUUAAUCCUAGUUUCCCAGGCUAUCUCCCAGUACAAAGGCAGAUUGUGUACGUGUUCCUCACCCGUGCGCCACUCGUCAGCAUGUAUUGCUACACCUGUUACCGUACGACUUGCAUGUAUUAACGCCUCCCGCUAGCGUUUCAUCCUGCGCCAGGACUCCUAAA
rnacentral:rRNA from 1 species